rnacentral:rRNA from 1 species
UACGAAGGGGCUAGCGUUGUUCGGAAUCACUGGGCGUAAAGGGCGCGUAGGCGGCCGAUCAAGUCGGGGGUGAAAGCCUGUGGCUCAACCACAGAAUUGCCUCGAUACUGUUUGGCUUGAGACCGGAAGAGGUAAGUGGAACUGCGAGUGUAGAGGUGAAAUUCGUAGAUAUUCGCAAGAACACCAGUGGCGAAGGCGGCUUACUGGCCCGGGUUCUGACGCUGAGGCGCGAAAAGCGUGGGGAGCAAACAGG